UGCUAUUUUGUUUAUUUUUGUUGUUAAGAGAUUAAGCAUAUAUCUGAUAUAUGAUGAAUGAUUUUCGCUAUCUAGGGGGUGAUCUUUCCGAUGCUGAUCUAAGAGGUGCAGACUUAUCCUUGGCCAAUGUGACAAAGGUGAGCAUUGAUGGAACUCUUCUGCCUGUUCAAUUUGUAAGAAAUACUUCUGCAGUUUGUUCGCAUUGUUAAUGUUUAUCAAGUAUAUAUAUGUUUUUCACAAUCAGAUUACCUGUUUAAUACAACCUAUGCGUGAUAAAUGGUUGAAAAAGGUAGAGAGGCUAUUACAAUGUGUGUACUUGUGCAGUAUGUGUGUGAAUAUCCCAUUGCUGGGAGCCUGGACAUAUUGGAUUCCAAUGUGGACUUUUAUGGUCAAUGAGCUUUUGUGCCAAUUGGGGACAUAGAUAGUCCUAUCUUCAUAAGGUUCAGCUUAGGUUAGGUUUUGGUUUCCUUGUGAAAAGCAUAAUGUUGAGUAUGACUCAACCCUGAAUAUUAAGUUUAAAGGCCUAAACCCUUGCCCUUGAAGCUAACAGGCUCAAAAUUGUUCACUAGUUCUUUGUCCCUGUCAUAAGCAUUGUUUUCAUUAUGGAGAUUUGGAGAUGCAGUGACAAUGAAAUUGUGAAAUCCAGAAACAAUUUUUUUUCUUUUUCUUUUGUUUAUAUAUGUUUAUGUAAAGUUGUUUUUAGGAUGAGUUCUUUUACCAUGUUCUUUUACCUAAGGUUAUUUAUUUGUUAUUGUUAAAGCUAGCAGUUAGUUUUUAAAUUAGGUUUAUUUUUGUUUAUUAAGCAUCAGUGGAUGCUAGCUUCACGUACUUGACACCUAGAAGCCACCUAGCUCAAGGUCUUAUCUCUUCCACCGUUUGGCUUUCACCUUUUCUUCCCCAUUGAGAUACUGAUCUGGGAUGGUACCUCUUAGUUUUUCUUUUCUUUUCUUUGAGACUGGGGAUUGAAGAGAAAACAAGGAGAAGAACUAAGCUUGUUUCCGAUUUGGGUUCGGGGGUAUUAAGUUGAGGGUAAAUUUGAGCAAUGCCAACUUGGAAGGUGCAUUUACUACAGACAACAUAUCUUUCAAAGGAUCAACUGCCACUUCCAAAGAGGAGCACUCCAAAGUUGCCGGAAUACACCAAGGACUGGAAACUCAAGUUACAAGUAUUUUUAUCUUAUAACAAACUGCUAUUAUUUUCUUUUUUCGUUUUACUGUAACUAUAAACAAUUUUAGUCUUCUUAUGGUUUAUUUAGAAGACUUCAAUCUUGUUCUUUUCUUUUGCUGUUGUAUAUGGAGAAGUUUAGGCCAUAUGUCCCCUUCUCCAUACUCUUUGUACUCUUUUUAUCAAUAGUAUUAAUAAGAAUUUUCUUUUGCUUA